rnacentral:tRNA from 1 species
AAGGUUUUAAGUUAAAAAAACUAAUAAUCUUCAAAAUUAUAAUUAAAGAAAUUUCUUUAAGCCUUA